UAAAUGUUAGCGGUGGAUCACUCGGUUCGUGGAUCGAUGAAGAACGCAGCUAGCUGCGAUAAAUAGUGCGAAUUGCAGACACAUUGAGCACUAAAAUUUCGAACGCACAUUGCGCCAUCGGGUUCAUUCCCGUUGGCACGUCUGGCUGAGGGUCAGA
rnacentral:rRNA from 1 species